AUUGAACGCUGGCGGCAGGCCUAACACAUGCAAGUCGAGCGGAGUGGCGGACGGGUGAGUAAUGCCCAGGAAUCUGCCUGGUAUUGGGUGAUCACGUCCGGAAACGGGCGCUAAUACCGCAUACUAUCAGAUGAGCCUAGGUCGGAUUAGCUAGUUGGUGGGGUAAAGGCCUACCAAGGCGACGCUCCGUAACUGGUCUGAGAGGAUGAUCAGUCACACUGGAACUGAGACACGGUCCAGUCUCCUACGGGAGGCAUCAGUGGGGAAUAUUGGACAAUGGGCGAAGUCCUGAUCACGCCAUGCCGCGUGUGUGAGAAAGGUCUUCGGAUUGUAACACACUUAGAGUUGGAAGACGGUACCGACAGAAUAAGCACCGACUAAAUUCGUGCCAGCAGCCGCGGUAAUAC
rnacentral:rRNA from 1 species